UUAAUCCACUUUUUUGUAUAU
rnacentral:piRNA from 1 species